rnacentral:rRNA from 1 species
AGAGUUUGAUCAUGGCUCAGGAUGAACGCUAGCGACAGGCUUAACACAUGCAAGUCGAGGGGCAGCAUAAAAGUAGCAAUACUUGGUGGCGACCGGCGCACGGGUGAGUAACGCGUAUGCAACCUACCUAUCAGAGGGGAAUAACCCGGCGAAAGUCGGACUAAUCCCGCAUAAAACAGGGGCACCGCAUGGUGAUAUUUGUUAAAGAAAUUCGCUGAUAGAUGGGCAUGCGUUCCAUUAGGUAGUUGGUGAGGUAACGGCUCACCAAGCCGACGAUGGAUAGGGAACUGAGAGGUUGGUCCCCCACACUGGUACUGAGACACGGACCAGACUCCUACGGGAGGCAGCAGUGAGGAAUAUUGGUCAAUGGGCGGGAGCCUGAACCAGCCAAGUCGCGUGAAGGAAGAAGGAUCUAUGGUUCGUAAACUUCUUUUGCAGGGGAAUAAAGUGCAGGACGUGUCCUGUUUUGUAUGUACCCUGAGAAUAAGGAUCGGCUAACUCCGUGCCAGCCGCAGC